GUUGAAUCACAUGCCAAGAAAUUAUUUCUCUUUUUAAAUUAUCCCUCAAUCCUUCUGAUUAAAUCAAGAAGGAAGCUUCCACUUGAAUGUUUUAACAACUUUCCAAAAAGAAUAGACUUCUCCCACUGCCCCAUCCGUAUGUUGCCCCCUCCCACUAUUAAGUAUAAGAUAGACUUAAGGAUGGAUUGUACGGCACAGGGAAUAUAGCCAAUGUAAUAACUGUAAAUGGAAGUGAAACUGUUAUCCACGGGGUCACAAAGAGUCGGACACGACUGAGCGACUUCACUUUCUUUCACUUUUCAUGUUGUUUAAACAAAUAUACAGGGCUGUUUAAAUAUUUUGUGUGUAGUUUUUUGCUUUAUUUCAGAACUUUUAAUAAUAGACAAGUCUUUCUCUUUUCUUUAACUUUUUUUAAAAAAAAAAAUCCUCCCUCUCUGUUCUCAUCAAUAAUGCUUAAAAAAAAAAGCAAACUCAUUCUGUUUCCUUCGUGUUCUUGCCUAAAUAUAAAAAAUUUCAUGGUUUACCUAGGGUGAUGAGGACCAUUAAGAUAUUACUGGCUUUACCAAAUCUAUCUUUUCUGUAUCUUAGUUUUUUGGAAAAGGAUAAAAGGAUUUAGCCAUUAAGGCUCUUAGAUGUAACAACCCCAAGUGGGAUGCCAAAAAACAAGCUUUAUUUGAUUCCUGCUCUGUACAUGUUGGAGAAGGCAAUGGCAACCCACUCUAGUGCUCUUGCCUGGAGAAUCCCAGGGACGGGGGAGACUGGUGGCCUGCCGUCUAUGGGGUCGCCCAGAGUCGGACACGACUGAAGCGACUUAGCAGCAGCAGCUGUACAUGUUGGUUGCCAGACAAAUUAUCUUAAUAAGUGGCAUGCAAAGCUAACCUGAUUUUAAAGAUAACUGAAUCAAUGAAGAAACGUGGGAUAAAGCAAAUAAAAUACAAUGCUAGUUAUAGAAUCUAGGUGGGGUGUAUACGUGGGCUCACUGUAAAUUUCUUUCAACUUUUACAUAUGAUUGAAAAUUUUCUUAACAAGAUAUUGGGGAAAAAAAUUUUUAAGGGGGCUUCCCACGUGGCUCAGUGGUAAAGAAUCUGCCUGCCAAAGAGAAGACCAGAAAGAUCCCACAUGCUGUGAAGCAGCUAAGCCCACAUGCCACAACUACAGAGCCUGUGCUCUAGAGCCCGGGCACAGCAACUACUGAAGCCUGCGUGUCCCAGAGCCUGUGCGCCACAAGGAAGAGUAGCCCCCGCUUGGCACAACUAGAGAAAGCCCGUGUGCAACAACAAAGACCCAGCACAGCCAAAAAUAAAUAAAUAAAAUUAUAUUUUUAAAAAAUUAAAAAAAAUUUUAAAACCCCAUUUAGUAUUUUCCAUGGGAAGUAUGUAGGAAAUAGUAUCUUCAAGGUCUCUGUGUGAUUCGUAAUCUACUGGGGUCCUUCAACACUGUCCAGCAGGUGUAGGGGGUGCAUUAAGUGCUGUCUGGGCUGCAUGCUUGCAAAGCCCAGUUUAGAGGUAACAAAAAUUCCCCCCUUUCACAACUGCCUUGACCCCAACACUGAGCUGGAUGCUGGCAGGGCAGAUGGCGUUACCACCACUAGUCUCUUUUUAUAAAUGAGGAAACUAAGGCUUAGAACUAAGUAACUGUUGAUCCCAGGAGCUCACCCAGACCUUCUGACAGCCAGUCCUUUGCUCUUUAUUCUGUAUUUCCUUAUUCCCAGUCAGAAUCCC
ensembl:lncRNA